rnacentral:lncRNA from 1 species
CUGCUGGCCCACUGUCCUCAACUCCACAGGCGCCGUCCCGACACAGUGAACUGUCCCAGUUAUUGUUCAGUCACCGUCUGCGAUAUGAGAGAAGAGGGUCAGUGUGCUGUGAGAGUGCUGGGAGGCUGGGAGCUGAAGGUGGAGCUCUUGCCAGGUCAGCCCUUGGGCCCUGCCUUCAGCCUUGCUGUGUUCCCUCAACAUGAUCUGCUCUGUCCUCUUCAGUGAGCGCUGUGACUAUAAGGAAAAAAACAACCCAUGCACGUUCUGAAUUUAACUUCGAGAACCUAGAAGCCACUGCAUUGGGUCUGUUUGGCGCUACACGAGACGAGAUGGUUGCCACUAGGCCGCAGCUCUCGCUGCUGUUCCUGCCGCCGCUGAGGGUGAGGGAGGGUGCUGCCAGGCGGCAGGCGAGGGGAGCUCCGGGGCUGCGCGAGGAGGGGGCUGUGGACUGGCCGGCCCUGGAGCCGGAGACAGACACCCCACUUCUUCAACACAGCUAGUUCCAUGUUUUUGAUCUAUUAGCUUUUCCUGAUUGAAAAGGUAAUUAAUACAGGUCCAUCGUACAAAAAUUGGAAUAGGGGGCCGGCUCUGUGGCCGAGAGGUUAAGUUCUCGCGCUCCGCUGUGGCGGCCCAGGGUUCGGAUCCUGGGCGUGGACAUGGCACCGCUCGUCAGGCCAUACUGAGGCAACAUCCCACAUGCCACAACUAGAAGGACCUGCAAUUAAGAUAUACAACUAUGUAUGGAGGGGUUUGGGGAAGUAAAGCCGAAAAAAAAAAAAAAAAAGAUUGGCAACAGUUGUUAGCUCAGGUGCCAAUCUUUAAAAAAAAAAUUGGAAUAUAUGGGAAAUUGUGAAGACAACAUUUUUUAAAAUGUACUAGUAAUCCUAUCAUUUAAAUAAAAAUUCCUCUACUUUUGGACAGUCUCCUGCCCACCCCCUUUCUGUGUGUAUAUGCACAGCAAUAUUGGAAUUGCACUACAUUGUAACUUUAUUUUUUCACUUAGUAAUAUAUCAAGGGCUUGUUUGCACAUUAUUAAACAUUCUAUCAAAGAAUUAUUUUAAUUUAGCACAAAGUUUUUCAUACUGUAGACACACCAUAAUUUAUUUAACCAAUCCCUUAUUUGGGAGAACUUUAAUUGUUUUAAAUGUUUUGCAAUCACACAUAAUUCAAAAAAGAUCAUUCUACUGGAAAUUUUAAAUUAAGGCUUUAGGAUAAAUUUCUAGAAAUUGAAUUGAUAUGUCAAUGGUACUGAACAGCUUCAAGACUGUGAUCACUACUCCUAAAUUUUGAAGUGUGCUUUGGAAACCCCUGCACAGACUGUCUAUACAAGUAGGCACUAAACGAACUAGCAUAUUUAAUCACGACAAAGAUGAUACAAAAUGCACAAAUAAUUUGUUGAGCAGUGCCUGAUGUAAAAGAGGAAGGAGUUAGUUUCUGAAUCUGAAACCUCGUAUCACACAAAGGUAACGAGCACAUGAGGGCAGGAGUGUGACACACCUGUCACACACGUUACACACUGGCCAUGGGACUCAGGACAAGCAUGUGUGCUCUCUCAACUCAGUCUCCCCCUUGGUACAAAACAACACAGAGUGAAAGCUAAAGACCUGUCUGUAGUGAUUCUGCGCUUCUCUGGAGCCUUUUUAUGAAACUAAAAUAGUUGUUCUCUCUUAAAAACUCAAAGGAAAUCAACACUCUCUGGGCUCAGGCAGUUUUGCUGACCAGAAACUGUGGUUAUAGUACAGCAGUCUUGCAUCUCAGCCCCGGCUACAGAGUCAGACAGCCUCCAUCAGGUGACUUAAUGUCCCUGACUUUAAGUUGUUUCCCCUUAAAAAUAAGAAUAUUAAUACCUACCCCAGAGUGUUAUUGGGAGAACUAAAUGCUAAGGGAUGUGAACAAGUUUCUAGCCGAUCGCCUGGUACAAAAGAGGCACUUAGCACGCACUUUCCCUCUCCACUUCUCGUAAAUGUUCAGAAUAAUGGUGGAUGGUGGCAUCUUGGUUGGCAUCUGAGGCAGAAUUCUCGGUAUUAUCUGUUUGCAAGGAUCUGUGUGAGAUCGAACAGCUGUAAUCCCUGCCCCUAUAGUUCUCAUCCCGAUGUGAGGAAGAGUCAGGCAUUGACAGAAUCCCCUCAUGGAGCGCCCUCAGCACGGCCCGCAACACCAGCGAUUCCCGUUAAACCAACCGGUUCUCACCACAGCCUCCAAUACAGCACAAGUCAUUGAAGGAAACACUUUCCUUCGCUAGUUUGUAGGACUGAGCAAGUUUCUGCAACCCUUUAGCCUGGUUUUGGAUGACAUUUCAGGGACUCUGGAAGGCACAUGAGUGACACCACUUUUUCAAUGCAGGUAAUGUUCACAAGGAAAUUGACAGAUUGAGGCCCAGGACUGAUGCUCCUGCAUGAGCGACAGGACCCAGAUGCCCCACACAGAUGCUGUGGUGCAUGAGGUCCAGAGAUACAUGGAUACUCUCCCCUCCAGUCUGCCUCACGCUGCAAUCCGCGACACCAAUUCAGACAGUUCUUCACUCCUAAGGUCAGUCAUAUUUUCCCCCUAUACAUUUUUAUUACAACAAUUAAGUGUCUGAUUUUUACAUUUUAAUAUAAAUAAUAUUUCUAUUAGCCCCAUUGGCUGACUCUCUCUGUAAGUGAAAAUUUCACAAAAACAUUGUUUGUCUUCUUAACAGGAAGUUUAG